UGCUCUGGGUGUACCCUCCCCGGCCUAGUCUGCUCCCCUCCUUUGGUCUCACCACUUCUCUCUAGUGCACUCCCACGCUGUUCAAGAGGCCGUGCUUCAUGGCUGGGACAGAAUGGAAAUAGUCAAGCAAGAAGGAAUAGCCAAGCAGGGAGAAGGAAGAUCUUGCCCUUGAUUGGCUCUUCUCCAUGAGCCUCAAUGAUGUGGGUCAAUCCAUUAACAUUACAAGGAAUUGAAAUCUCAUUUCCUGGAAAUACCGGGCUGGACGGCAGCCAUCCCUCAAACGAGCCCCCGUGGAGAAGACUUGGAGACGUGAGCUCCAAACUCGGAUUUCCGGUGGAUGCGUCUUAAAUCCCACGGACUGGAGGCUGAGGUCAUAGAUUACUUUCUCAGUGCCAUCAAGGGUUCUCGGAUGCCUAAGAAGACACAUAUACCAGACGGCAAUCCUCAGUAAAAAUCCCCAGACCAUAAACAAAGACAAUACUCAUGCUACCUUCCUUUCUGAGUCUCCCAGGCGCUGCAUCUGUAUCUGCUCUCUCUAGAUCUUCAGUGAACUCUGCUCCCACCUCCUGUUGGCUUGCAUUUGAUUUCUAUCCUGCGCAAAGCCAAGGACUCUCUUGGUGGGUCCCUCUGGAUCUCCUUCGGAGCCUUGGAUCGGAACUGCUGGCAACAUUAGCAAACCUACCCAUACUUUGUCCCAGAGGGACAUUAUCUUCAUUAUCCUGUCCAGGAAACAAAUCUGCCCCCUGCCCCAGAGAGAGACUCUAUCUCUGUCUUUCAAGAUUCUUCCAUACACAAAUAUCCUUGAAAAGACAUCUGGAACAAGAGCUGUCAUAAGACAUAUAAAAACAGCACGGGGAGUUGUCCCCCACCUCCAACAAAUGAGACACAGCCAAAGGCAGAACUCAAAAGAAGAUGCAGUGAUCAAGUGAGAUGUCUUGAAACAUUUAUUUAAUCAAUAGAAUUGAUAACUCACAAAGAACCUUAAAUAACAUAGUUCCAUAGUUACAGAGAAAGACCAUUAUCUCUCCAUUACUUACUGGUAUGGAAGCGCCCACCUGCACAACAUCAGAGCACUUUAGCUGUGUGAAUGGAACAGGGCACCCCCUACCCCCAUUGCCACCGAAAGGCCUACUGGGAUGGUUUCCUUCACGCAAUUUCCAAUCAUUGUCAAAUGGAACUUUAGCCCAUUGAAAGAAAAUGCAUUAGGGUUUUUUCAUUUUGUUUUGUUUUGUUUUUUAUCCAAGGGAAAAAAGAAAGAAGCAGCUUUGUUACUUUCUAACUUUCUUUGGGCCUUAUGAGAUUAAAAGUGGUUUGGGGAAAAGAAUUCUUUUAGAGGCCACUUGGGAAGAUUAUGGAAUCCUGAGAUUUAUCCAGAUCAGUCUUCUAAUUCACAUGCCUUUGUAAGGUCAGAUAUGGUUCUCCUAAAGGCUUGAGAACCCAGGGCACACCCCACCAAAGAACUCCUGGCAUUUCAGAUCCAAUGGAGCUUAACCUUGGAGCCCUAAAACAAGAACCACCUCAAGGAUCUUUCAUCCUCAUUUGGAAGACAGUUUUGCCCAUGUCAGACAACACAGGAAUAUGUAUCCCAAGUUUUAGUUAAAAAAAAUUAUUAUCAGUGGUAAGAUGAAGUAAUUGUCAUAGUAAAGAAUUCAGGGACAGUCUUAUUUGAGAGUUUGACGACAGAGCAGCCGGCUGUGGGUGGCAGGAAAGAGGUAGGUGAGUCAGGCAAUGUCCUCCUGUCUCCACUGCUAACAGAAGGACAGGCCCCAGUUGCUAAAGGCACAAAUCUGGUUAUCACUCUUCCUUUUCCCUUGCUUUCCAUAUCCAGUCAGUCGCAAAGUGCUACUGACCCUCCUAAAUGUUCCUCAGAUCUGUCCACAAUCUCUUAGUCUUCGCUAAGUUCUCUUCUUUAUUCUUCUGUGGUGUUUUAUAUAUAUUUAUAUAUCGUUGCAUCCCGUGAGGUGAAAAUCUAAUCGGAUUUUUUCUCAAGCUCCAAGAAGAGUUGGCAGGGUACUCUUAGAACUCCCACUCCCUUCCACAGCACACUCAACACACACGCACACACCCCCACACAUGCGCGCUUGUGCACCAGUGGGAGACAACACUUCCUAUUGUUCCAUGCCCGUUUCCAUUUGCCCAGAACUUGGUUUUCCUGUCCCCUCUAGCUAUUAUCCAAGAGGAGCCCCUCGAGUGCAGACUGUCAGCACGAGGCAGGAGGCUUGGCUGGCCCAAUGAUACGGGGACAGUGGCUCCCACCAAGGUCCAGCCCCAGCUUCAGGUGUCCUCAGCUUGCCCUAGGCCUGAGCCAAGCCCAUCAUGCAAGCGGUGAGCUAGAGCUGUGUGAACUGAACUGAGGGGCAAACCUUGCAUCUGAACUAUAGAUGCAGAAACACACAUAUGAAUUCCAUUCAUAUUUGAAUCCGGAAAAAUAUAUUGCCGGUUACCUCCACUCUAGUUUCUUGUAGCAGGGCAGAUAACUACAAUGCAGGCCUGGAAUCAAACUUUCUUCUUAGAAUCCUGGGAUCCUAGUACUGUUUUAAAAAACAAAUACUAUUUCUUUUUAAUGUUUAAUGUUUUGUGUAAAUAGCAUUUUCCCAUAUGUCAGACAUGGCUUAGAUAUAUGAUAAAUAAAUUUCAGUGACCUAUUUAAAAAAAAAAAAAUCCCUUUACUUUAAGGCAGCUUUAAAGGGAGUCCUCCUCCCCCAGCAUUCCUAUUCCCAGGGAAGGAGAAUUGGCCACUGUGAUUUCACAGACUCUGCCAGCAAGAGCUGCUGGGGAGAAUACACAAUGAGGCUCUCUGUAUCACUGCCGAAAAGGGGAACAGAAAUGCUGACAUUUCAGUGAGUAUAUUUGGGAUCUGCUGUUGCCCUGGGGCAUCCCAAAGAUCACUUAAUAGAUGAGCCUUAUCUUGUUUUCAGAGCUUAAAUUAGCUUUCAAAUAUCCAAAAGGUUAGGGAAUACCUCAUUUAGUUAAGAAAAACCUAGUUUCCUUCUCUGUUCCCAUCAAGCACUGCUCCGUGUGUGUGUGUGUGUGUGUGUGUGUGUGUGUGUGAUUUCAAUUUUUUUUGCAUAGAUUUUGCAAUGCUGGGAGCAGCCAACAGCUACGGACUUCACGCCCUCUACAUAAGUUAACCACACAUUAGGGCAGUUAUUUCAAAUAUUCUGUUCUUCCUAUAGGACAGGUCAUGUUUUUUUAUUGAGCAAAUAUAUUUACUGAAAUGUUUUAAUAUCAGUACCAAGUAGAAUGCCUCACACAGAAUACUGAAUAAAUGAUUAAUUUUAUGGCCUUAUACUCUCUGGAAUUCUGUUAAUAAAGAUGGAUAGACAGAAAACCCACUCAGUAAUAUUCCUUAAUUCUCUAUGGUAAAACAGAAAUUCCAAUAACGCCUGUACUUCUUCACACAC